rnacentral:rRNA from 1 species
CCUACGGGAGGCAGCAGUAAGGAAUAUUGGUCAAUGGACGAAAGUCUGAACCAGCCAUGCCGCGUGAAGGAUGACGGCCCUCUGGGUUGUAAACUUCUUUUAUCUGGGACGAAAAAAGGGAAUUCUUUCUCACUUGACGGUACCAGAGGAAUAAGCACCGGCUAACUCCGUGCCAGCAGCCGCGGUAAUACGGAGGGUGCAAGCGUUAUCCGGAUUCACUGGGUUUAAAGGGAGCGUAGGUGGGCAGGUAAGUCAGUGGUGAAAUCUCCGGGCUUAACCCGGAAACUGCCAUUGAUACUAUUUGUCUUGAAUUAUCUGGAGGUAAGCGGAAUAUGUCAUGUAGCGGUGAAAUGCUUAGAUAUGACAUAGAACACCCAUUGCGAAGGCAGCUUACUACGGAUAUAUUGACACUGAGGCUCGAAAGCGUGGGGAUCAAACAGGAUUAGAUACCCUGGUAGUCCACGCCCUAAACGAUGGAUACUCGACAUCAGCGAUACACUGUUGGUGUNUGAGAGAAGACAUUAAGUAAUACCACCUACGGAAGGUAACGACCGACGAAGUAGAAACGUACGAAGAAAGUAGACGGCGUGAGACGAGACCGAACGGACGACGACGAGGGAGGAGG